rnacentral:rRNA from 1 species
UUAAUACUUUGCUGUUUUGACGUUACCGACAGAAUAAGCACCGGCUAACUCUGUGCCAGCAGCCGCGGUAAUACAGAGGGUGCAAGCGUUAAUCGGAAUUACUGGGCGUAAAGCGCGCGUAGGUGGUUCGUUAAGUUGGAUGUGAAAUCCCCGGGCUCAACCUGGGAACUGCAUUCAAAACUGACGAGCUAGAGUAUGGUAGAGGGUGGUGGAAUUUCCUGUGUAGCGGUGAAAUGCGUAGAUAUAGGAAGGAACACCAGUGGCGAAGGCGACCACCUGGACUGAUACUGACACUGAGGUGCGAAAGCGUGGGGAGC